rnacentral:rRNA from 1 species
CAGUCGCCGCGGGAAUACGGAGGGCGCGAGCGUUACCCGGAUUUACUGGGCAUAAAGGGCGUGUAGGCGGCCUGGGGCGUCCCAUGUGAAAGGCCACGGCUCAACCGUGGAGGAGCGUGGGAUACGCUCAGGCUAGAGGGUGGGAGAGGGUGGUGGAAUUCCCGGAGUAGCGGUGAAAUGCGCAGAUACCGGGAGGAACGCCGAUGGCGAAGACAGCCACCUGGUCCACUUCUGACGCUGAGGCGCGAAAGCGUGGGGAGCAAACCGGAUUAGAGACCCCAGUAGUCCCUGUCUCUUAUAC